UGUCAAACGAAACACAGUCUCUAACUCCCUGGAUCAGAUGUCUACAGUUCUGCUAGUAUAUAUGUGCUCCCUGACAAUGGACUAGUUCAGUCAGUGGUGGGAUUCUUCACUAGGUACAGACAAAAGACAACCACUCAGGGGUGCAUUCUUAUACACAGCAGAAGAAGGGAAUGUCUUCCUUACAAAAACAAUUGACACAUCAGGAAAUGCUCACACAGCAGAAUACUUACAAGCAGUAGCAAUAAAAGUUAUAACAAACUG